rnacentral:rRNA from 1 species
CCUACGGGAGGCUGCAGUGAGGAAUAUUGGUCAAUGGACGGAAGUCUGAACCAGCCAUGCCGCGUGCAGGAAGACGGCUCUAUGAGUUGUAAACUGCUUUUGUACAAGGGUAAACCUGAAUACGUGUAUUCAGCUGAAAGUACUGUAAGAAUAAGGAUCGACGAACUACGUGCCAGCAGCCGCGGUAAUACGGAGGAUCCAAGCGUUAUCCGGCUUGAUUGGGUUUAAAGGGCGUGUAGGCGGAUUGAUAAGUUAGAGGUGAAAUGUCCGAGCUUAACUCGGGAACUACAUCUAAUACUGUUGAUCGAGAGAGUAGAUGCGGCAGGCGGAAUGUAUGGUGUAGCGGUGAAAUGCUUAGAGAUCAGACAGAACACCGAUGGCGAAGGCAGAUUACUAAUCUAUAUCUGACGUUGAGGCACGAAAGCGUGGGGAGCAAACAGGAUUAGAUACCCUUGUAGUC